GACGAACGCUGGCGGCGUGCUUAACACAUGCAAGUCGAACGGAAAGGCCCUGCUUUUGUGGGGUGCUCGAGUGGCGAACGGGUGAGUAACACGUGUGUAACCUGCCCUUGUCUUUGGGAUAACUUCAGGAAACUGGGGCUAAUACCGGAUAGGAUCUCCUGCUGCAUGGUGGGGGUUGGAAAGUUUCGGCGGUUGGGGAUGGACUCGCCGCUUAUCAGCUUGUUGGUGGGGUAGUGGCUUACCAAGGCUUUGACGGGUAGCCGGCCUGAGAGGGUGACCGGCCACAUUGGGACUGAGAUACGGCCCAGACUCCUACGGGAGGCAGCAGUGGGGAAUAUUGCACAAUGGGCGGAAGCCUGAUGCAGCAACGCCGCGUGCGGGAUGACGGCCUUCGGGUUGUAAACCGCUUUCGCCUGGGACGAAGCGAGAGUGACGGUAAUGGGUAAAGAAGCACCGGCUAACUACGUG
rnacentral:rRNA from 1 species